AUUUAAGGGCUGGCUGCUAGAAGGGAAGGUUCUUUACUCAGAGGACAUCUCCUUUGGAGUGUUUGGUGAGCCCUGAUCCUCAGGAAGGGGUAGUUGCAAAGACUUUAAAUUCAGAAAACGACUUUCAAGACAGAUGGAUCUCCUGGGACUGCAGAUUCUAUUAUCAAAACAGGAUGGUGGCUGUAACCUGAUGUAGGACCGGAAAUCCUGCUGCUGCAAAUUAUGGUGUUUCUACUGUACUUGAUGGACUCACUCACACUUGAUUCUGGUGGAUGAUUUGGCUCAUAGCACUAGUGCUCUGGAAGCCAGGGGAGCAAAACUCCACACAGUGACAACACCUGCAACACCCCCUCACACCAGAACGGAACUGCUGAGCUCGGGACCUAGAGGAGAAGAGGAGGGAGAGCAAGACACCAGCGAAAGGAAGAGGAACUAAAAUAACAGUUCUGACUUGAUCAUUAUUACUGACAUUUUUCAUGCAUAGAAGAACAUUUUCUUUUCCAGUAAUAAAUGGAUCCAGACUACUAA